GUUGUUAUAGUUCAAUGGUAGAACUUUCGUAUGUGGCACGAACUAUCUGGGUUCAAUUCCCAGUGAUGACC
rnacentral:tRNA from 1 species